CAUACCUGGCUGCGGCCUCGACCACAUCAUCCCCAACCUCUCGCUCUAUCCGCGCGGGAUAGAGCACGGCGCUGCCGCCCGAAACCGCCGGCCGCACCUCGUGUAGAUAACGUCUAUCUGCAGCUCCACAUACGCCCUAGAUCGCGCCUAUAGAAAGCCCGCGAGCCCCUCGUCCCAUUCUGCCACACCGCACCAUCUCUUGCUGCUCGUAGACGCCGCUGUUGCCAUUGGAUCUCGCCAGAGCCGGAGCUUUCCAUCGACGUUUCGAACGCUGAACGCACCGGAGCAGCCACCCCGACGACCUGCAUCGUGGAAGUUCGCCCGAGGACAGGAGCUCCGCCCGCUGCCUUCGCCCGUCGCCGCCGACGGACGUCACCACCGUUGGGCCGCCCUCGACGAGCCACACCCGCCCGACCACCUCGCCCGCACCGGAGCCCGCCGGAGCCGCCGCCCCUGCAGUCGCCGAGGUCCUGCCAACGAGUUCUCGUCUCUAUUGUCCGGAGUGCGAAGCCGAAAAAUAUCAUUCGCUAGAACUUCACUCCGAGUGCCAAGGCAAGUUACAUUUUGAUCAUAACUAUCUUACCUAUGUUUUGUUAUGCACGUAGUCCUUUGCUAUAGGAUUGCAUGGUAGGAAUUUAUUUUCUUUGGCUAUGCUUGCACCUAGUAGUUCAUUUGAGGUAGGUCUGAACCAUAUCAACCUUGUCGCCCUCGAGUUAAGUUAUAAUUGCUUCGCUAAAGCAGACGUGGAUUGGGGAGUGAUAUCAUAUUGAGACAUGAGGGACAAAGUAGUAAUUAAUACCAAGACUUAAAUGAACUACCUGGGUGGAAAGUUGGUUUGAAUGGUGGCGAAGUACAGUGGGAGCAUUCAUGGGAAUCCAUGGGAGUGCACACUAGUGGCCCGUCCACCCAAGCUCAAAGGGAUCAACCUUGUUUUCAUGUCUAUAAGCUUCUGUGUGCAGCCACAAGCCAAUAUGGGCUCUGGCUUAAUUGAGUAGAUGGUGUGACCUCUUCCGGGAUAGGCUAGCAGAUGUAGAUGAUGUAGGUGUACCAGCCUAUCCGUGGGUUAGAGGGAAUGCUCUCGAAAGACUAUGUCUCGAUCUUCCGAUCAAGGAGGUGGUCGAGUCUUGUGGGGAAAAGUGCGCAACCUCUGCAGAGCGUCAAUCUAAUCGAUUAGUCGUGUCCCCGGUUAUGGACAACUUGAGCUUUUAGUAGUGAAAAUGCCGGGGGAUCUCCUAAUAUUUAAUUAAUCAACUGGGUAAUUGAGACAACUUUGGGUAUGGAUUGAGUUGGGGUUUCCAUCUCAGUCUGAUGAUAUUAUUUUUGUAGAAGUAGAAUGUUUACUUGGUUAAGGAAAAUCGGCUUUACGCAAAACUCAACUUAGAGCUUUCCACCAGCCAAAUUGCAUGCACAAAUAGGCUCCUUACUCUCUUAUGAUGUGACUUGCCAGUACAUGUUGGAAUUAUGCCCUAGAGGCAAUAAUAAAUAUAGUUAUUAUUAUAAUGCAUGUAUCAAGAUAA